GGUGGCUUUGCUGUCCAAGGCUAGGCAGGAAAUGGAGUCUCGGGCAGCCACUGCUGUCCUCUGCGGGUGUGGCUGGGGACUGGCUGGGAAGAAAACCAGCGUCAUUUGAUACAGUUGCUCUGGAAGGUCUCUGAGCACGGGCCCUGACACCCACUUUCCCAAGAACAAGCCCGGUCCUCCACCCAGCAGACGGUCUCGUGCAGGAGAGAGGGAUGGCGAUGCUGGUCUCACCAGAGCCAGGGUGGUGUCCCCACGAGGCCGGGUAGUGGAAAGCGCUGGGAACCAAGUGGCUGUUGUUGGAGGUGGCCGACUGCGGAAAGGCCUGCUUUAUUUCGUCGCAGUUCAUUUAUUUUCCUUUUCAUUCUACCAGCUGCCCGGUGUUUGGCCACCCGGACUCCGGUUUGAAACGCAUUGGAUAAUGAAUCCUUUUCGCCUCCCUCCUUCUAAAAUACCAGUUCAGUUUAUCGGGAACCCAGAGGUAGCCCACCGUGUGACUCAGUGGCACGGAAAACAUCGGAGUCGUUGACUUUGGGGUGGCAAAAUGGGAUCUCACACAUGGUACUUUAUCAAAUAAAGGGCACCGGCAUGUUAAA